GUAGUAAUUUAAUUUGAACUUCUAAUUCAAAACCUUAAUGAUUUUUCAUUUUACUCCA
rnacentral:tRNA from 1 species